rnacentral:lncRNA from 1 species
AUGCUCUACACUUGGGAUUUGCCUCCCUCUGACUAUAAAGUAGUGUCUACACAUAACUGGAAAUGGCACCAGCACCAUACAGGUGACCGGACAGCCACACAUGUGGAUGUGUGGUCUUGUCACCUAGUAUUUGACUCUUCUCCCCUGUUUCCAGUUUACAAGCUAUUCACAACUGGAAGUGAGACCAGUCCUAAAAGACUAAACUCAUCAUUCCUGAAGGUUAGGAAUGCCAUGAAUCUUAGCAUGAAUGUAGCUGUGCUGUGGAAAACACAGAGUGAAGAGACGAUCAGAAGGGUAUCUAGGUCUGCAUCAUGGAUCUCUUUCUCUCUGUGUGACCUUGGAGACUUGCCUUUCCUAAAGGUCAGUUUACUUAUCUGUACAAUAAAAAAAAUACCAUCAUCCUUGCUAGGUGU